ACACAUGCAAGUCGAGGGGCAGCAUGGUCUUAGCUUGCUAAGACUGAUGGCGACCGGCGCACGGGUGCGUAACGCGUAUGCAACUUGCCUCACAGAGGGGGAUAACCCGUCGAAAGACGGACUAAUACCGCGUACACUCUAUGUUGGGCAUCCAAUGUAGAGGAAAUGAAAUUCGCUGUGAGAUAGGCAUGCGUCCCAUUAGCUAGUUGGUGAGGUAACGGCUCACCAAGGCGACGAUGGGUAGGGGAACUGAGAGGUUGAACCCCCACACUGGUACUGAGACACGGACCAGACUCCUACGGGAGGCAGCAGUGAGGAAUAUUGGUCAAUGGGCGAGAGCCUGAACCAGCCAAGUCGCGUGAAGGAUGACUGUCUUAUGGAUUGUAAACUUCUUUUAUACGGGAAUAACAAGAGCCACGUGUGGCUCCCUGCAUGUACCGUAUGAAUAAGCAUCGGCUAACUCCGUGC
rnacentral:rRNA from 1 species